rnacentral:lncRNA from 1 species
GGAGGAAAGAGGAGCUUGUUCAGCCAGUCUGGAGUGCCAUGCUCUUUCUUGGUUCAGCCUGAAGAUUCAAGUCCAAUCUCUUCUGAAGGGCAUAAUCUCUUAGGGACAAAAAAACCUUCUCCUAAAGUAACAGCUCAUCAGAGUUUGUAAGAGGAUUAACAGUAAGGACUAGAGGAACCUGGGAGGGAGGAGAUAAGCCAAUAUUUCUGCCUGUUGAGCCUGCAGUUAAAAAUAAUUAUAGAG